CAAGUUUCUGAUCAGUUUAAUUGGGGGAAGUUUUAUUGGGCAGAAGAAUGGAAAGAAAAUUUUAUCUGGUUCUGGGUACAAUGUGACCUCGGGAAAGAUGUUCACAACUCUGAGGAAACCCUCAGCGGUGCUGGAAGAUUCUGGAACUUACGCAUGCUCACACACAGCUUCUCCGGAAUCAGUGCAGGUGACCGUUUAUGUUAAUGUCACUAACUCAGAUAAGACUUGCACAGGUGCCUGGGUGGUGAAAUAGGGAAUGUAAAAUGCU